rnacentral:rRNA from 1 species
CAGCAGCCACGGGAAUACGGAGGGGGCUAGCGUUAAUCGGAAUUACUGGGCGUAAAGCGCACGCAGGCGGUUUGUUAAGUCAGAUGUGAAAUCCCCGAGCUUAACUUGGGAACUGCAUUUGAAACUGGCAAGCUAGAGUCUUGUAGAGGGGGGUAGAAUUCCAGGUGUAGCGGUGAAAUGCGUAGAGAUCUGGAGGAAUACCGGUGGCAAAGGCGGCCCCCUGGACAAAGACUGACGCUCAGGUGCGAAAGCGUGGGGAGCAAACAGGAUUAGAUACCCGUGUAGUCCCUGUCUCUUAUAC